CGGACGGGUGAGUAACACGUGGGUAACCUACCUAUAAGACUGGGAUAACUUCGGGAAACCGGAGCUAAUACCGGAUAAUAUAUUGAACCGCAUGGUUCAAUAGUGAAAGACGGUUUUGCUGUCACUUAUAGAUGGAUCCGCGCCGCAUUAGCUAGUUGGUAAGGUAACAGCUUACCAAGGCAACGAUGCGUAGCCGACCUGAGAGGGUGAUCGGCCACACUGGAACUGAGACACGGUCCAG
rnacentral:rRNA from 1 species